GACGUAGGGCGCGAGCGCUGUCCGGAUUUAUUGGGCGUAAAGAGCUCGUAGGCGGCUUGUCGCGUCGUCCGUCGGAAAACCCGGGGCUCAACCCCGGGCUUGCGGUCGAUACGGGCAGGCUGGAGUUCGGUAGGGGAGAGUGGAAAUCCUGGUGUAGCGGUGAAAUGCGCAGAUAUCAGGAGGAACACCAAUGGCGAAGGCAGCUCGCUGGGACGUUACUGACACUGAGA
rnacentral:rRNA from 1 species